UAAAAUAUAUUCUUUUAUAUUAUGAUGUUUAUAUCAUCUUUUGAGCAAUCUCUAUGAUCAUGUUUUCAAAAGUUGAGCACUCGGUGGAUGGUUUAGCCAGGCAGAUGCAUUGAGGUUUGAAACACAUAUGAUAGUGGAUGGUGCAAUAACCCAGCAUAGGACUGAUUUCUAUGGUGAAGGGGAACUAUCGGCCCGACUGAUGCACCUUGUAGAGUUUACGAGGAUCCUCCAGUAAUUAAAAGACGAGGUGUUGCCACCAAGGGUAGAGUAAGGAAAGGGUUCUUAUUAGUAUGUGAUUUGGAGGCUGAUUUGCUAAUGUUUUGGGCACUUUUGGAAGUUGUUUUCAAGUUAUCUUAAACCAUUAUUUAUGAUGCUUAUAUUCUCAUGAUCGUAUUUCUGUUCAUAUAUAAAUGCUUCUCCAAACUUUUUGAAGAAAGAAGAGAGGUUGAGGGAAGAGUUUACCAAGAACAUUUAUGCAUUGAAAAUUUCAAAGAAUGUUGGAACUACAUACCCCGGUUUAGAAUUCUCCGCUAGCCAGCUCCAAAUGUCAGAAGAAUCCCUUAAAGGUGUUCACUUAUGUGAGGCCUGUAGCUGUUUCAAAGGAGUAAAUGAUCUCCUAAUCAAUAUUGGAAGUUUGUUCCCUUUUACACUAUAUGUACAAACAAGUUUUCAUGUGAAUCAUGUAACAAAGCAAAUGCCAUUUAACAUUUGAUUUUGAUAAUUACU